rnacentral:tRNA from 1 species
CGGGAGGUAGCGCAGUUUGGCUUAGCGCGCUUGGUUCGGGACCAAGAGGUCGUGGGUUCAAGUCCCACCCUCCCGA